rnacentral:rRNA from 1 species
UGAGGAAUAUUGGACAAUGGAUGGAAAUCUGAUCCAGCCAUGCCGCGUGCAGGAAGACGGCCCUAUGGGUUGUAAACUGCUUUUCUACGGGAGCAAUAAGGUCUACGAGUAGACUGAUGAGAGUACCGUAGGAAUAAGCAUCGGCUAACUCCGUGCCAGCAGCCGCGGUAAUACGGAGGAUGCGAGCGUUAUCCGGAUUUAUUGGGUUUAAAGGGUGCGUAGGCGGCUUUUUAAGUCAGCGGUGAAAUUUUGCAGCUUAACUGUAACAGUGCCGUUGAUACUGAGAGGCUAGGAUUUGGUUGCUGUGGGUGGAAUGUGUGGUGUAGCGGUGAAAUGCUUAGAGAUCACACAGAAUAUCGAUUGCGAAGGCAGCUCACAAAGCCAAGAUUGACGCUGAGGCACGAAAGUGUGGGGAUCAAACAGGAUUAGAUACCCUGGUAGUCCACACUGUAAACGAUGAUAACUCGCUGUCGGCGAUACACAGUCGGUGGCCAAGCGAAAGCGAUAAGUUAUCCACCUGGGGAGUACGACCGCWAGGUUG